UACAGAGGUCUCAAGCGUUGUUCGGAAUUACUGGGCGUAAAGGGCUCGUAGGCGGCCCUCUCAGUCGGAUGUGAAAUCCCCAGGCUUAACCUGGGAAUGGCAUCCGAUACUGGAGGGCUUGAAUUCGGGAGAGGGAUGCAGAAUUCCAGGUGUAGCGGUGAAAUGCGUAGAUAUCUGGAGGAAUACCGGUGGCGAAGGCGGCAUCCUGGACCGAGAUUGACGCUGAGGAGCGAAAGCUAGGGGAGCAAACGGG
rnacentral:rRNA from 1 species